rnacentral:rRNA from 1 species
AACCACUCUGUGAACUCUUAUUUCGUGUGCUGGUCGAGCCCGCUGAUCGGGUGUCUUGCGAAAGCAAGCCCCCUUUGGCAGCCUCUCUCGGGCAUUGCGUCCUGGGCGAGGUGGCUCGGCUGGUGUGCGUCCCCACUCCGCUGUCCCACCGACCCGAGGGCUUUCGAGCCUUCGAACGGGUGGGCAGAGAUCAAACCAAAACCUGAAGUCAAUGGGCGCUGCUCUGUCGGCCCCAAUUAACCAAAGACAACUCUCAACAACGGAUAUCUUGGCUCUCGCAACGAUGAAGAACGCAGCGAAAUGCGAUACGUAGUGUGAAUUGCAGAAUUCCGUGAACCAUCGAAUCUUUGAACGCAUAUUGCGCUCGAGACUUCGGUCAAGAGCAUGUCUGCCUCAGCGUCGUUUUGACCCCCUCACUCCCAUACUUUUUGUUUCAUUAAGUAUUGCGCUCCGGGCUGCGGCCUGGUUGCCGGGCGUGGAUCUGGCUUCCCCGAUGCGAAUCGGGUUGGCUGAAGUGCAGAGGCAAAGCACGGACCCUCAUGGGCGUCAACUGGAUAGGUAGCCCCCACGCAAGUGGAUCUACACGAAGUUGUGCGCUUGGGAGCGUGUUUUGCCAAACAGGAAACACUCUCACUUCGACCUGAGCUCAGGCAAGACUACCCACUGAACUUAAGCAUAUCAAU